rnacentral:rRNA from 1 species
UACGGAGGGGGCAAGCGUUAUUCGGAAUUAUUGGGCGUAAAGGGCGCGUAGGCGGCUAGAUGUGUCAAAGGUGAAAGCCCCCGGCUCAACUGGGGAGGGUCAUUCGAUACUGAUCGACUCGAAGGCAGGAGAGGGUAGUAGAAUUCCCGGUGUAGUAGUGAAAUGCGUAGAUAUCGGGAGGAACACCAGUGGCGAAGGCGACUACCUGGCCUGUUCUUGACGCUGAGGCGCGAAAGCUAGGGGAGCAAACGGG